AGGAGAGAGUUAGCGCAUUAGU
rnacentral:miRNA from 1 species